rnacentral:lncRNA from 1 species
CAGGCUGGCAGCUGUAGCUCUGAUUGGACCCCUGACCUGGGAACCUCCAGAUGCCGCAAGUGCGGCCCUAAAAGACAAAAAAAAAAAAAAAAAAAAAAAAAGGAUCUUUAUACAAUUGUUUUGCAACCGUAAUACACAGAGAAUUCCUACAAGUCAGCAAGAAAAAGAUGAGCAGCGCAAGGCAAGGUGAGAGCAGGGUUUCACAGGAGAGGAAGCGGGGGGUGGCUGUGGGCCGGCCAGUGCGCCCUUGGGUGCAGAGCCCCUGGAGCCGCAUCUUUAUGUUGUCGUGUUUCGUGGUCAGAACUCGAGAAAGGAACCGUCUCUUAGCAGUGGCAGUGCACCCGGUUCCUCGGCUCGUGGAAGGUUCCCUCGAGCUCCGAGCUCGCGUGCACGGCCCGGAUGCUGCGCAGGCAGCGUCUGCGGAGACUGCAGGUCGGCGCUCCGCACACACUCCUCCGGGAGCAGUUAUCCUCAGAGAAGGCCUGUGUCUCUGGUCUUACUCGUUUCCUCUCUUAGGCCAGGUCGGGUCGUCUCGGCACAGCCACUUCACAUUCGGUCUUGAGCUGUCUCUGGGUGUCGUCGUGCUUCCUGUGCGGGGGGCCGCCUCCCUCCGCAGAGCCCGUCCGGCCGGCAUGGACCGGGGCUGGCAUGGACUGGUCCCGGGCCGGGGCCUGGCCUCCUGCAGAGCAGCGGGAAGGCGAGGCUGUCCUGCACGCGCCUCUGGGCAGCAGAGGGAGGCUUCUGCUGUGCGGCCUGCUGACGCUGGGGCUCAGGAGUGUUCCCGUGCUGCCCUGUGCAUCAGCCAGGGGGCCCCGCGUUGGGCUGCCCUCUCCAGGUCAUGGAGACAAGCAGGAGAAGGGCUGGAAGAGCAGCUCGGCUGAGCGUGGGCUGGCCCGACGCAGCCGGGGCCCUUAGACAGAAAGGGAGUUGUUCCUGUUCGUGCAAUGCUGGAAGCCCGGUGUAAAUUUCAGCUAAGUUCUGUGUGCUUUUUAGAUGUUAGCACUUAAGUUCACGUCCUGGAGAGUUUUCCUUUCUUCGUAGAUGUUUUCUUUCCAUGUUUAGCAUUACUUACGAUUGACGUCUGCAUCUCUUCCUGCUGCUGCCUCUUAAGACAGCACCUCUACCUUCAUUUCAGAUGUUUUCAGUUCAGAGUUAUGCACACACACACUCAAGACACACGCAUGCGCACACACACGUGUGAAGCCCGAUGUCUUUGCAGUGAAUCCGCGUGUCUCUCUGCCUCUCAGAUAUAUGCUUGAAGGAGGUGCCGUCGAUGGCCGACAGUCUGUACAACAUCCGGCUGCUGAGAGAGUUCUCCAACGAGUACCUCAACAGGUGCUUUUAUCUCACCCUGGAAGACGUGCUCUACGCGCCCCUGGUGCUGAAGCCAAACGUCAUGGUUUUUAUCGCUGAGCUCUUCUGGUGGUUUGAGAACGUCAAACCCGACUUCGUUCAGCCCAGGGACGUGCACGAGCUGAAAGACGUCCCCGAAGGCGGCCCCCCCGGCUGCUCGCUGCACAGCACGGGGCUCCUCUCGGGGACCAAGAGCUGGCACGGCCCGGGUCCCCGGCGGCGGCCGUCCUUGUCCCACAGCGCCAGGUCCAGGGGCCGGUGGGGUCGCUGGGGAGGAGGUCCCAGGUGGCCCCGGUGCGGCUCCGUGGCAGGAGGUACUCUCCCUGAUGCCAGCCUCACCCCGUGGCUCUGAUUUUUGCCCCUGUAACAAGGAGGAACAGAGUCGGUUUUACCACAGGGUAAAAUGAGCUGCCAGCCUUGCGAAUCCGUAAACGUUAAAGGACGACACGGGAGAAGGCCAUCGUGCCUGUGGUUUCUUAGGAAGAAUAUAAAAAUUUGAGCUGCAGAGGAGAAGAGCAGUAAUUAGCACAUUAAAAUUCAGACCUUUUUUUCAUGGAAAGAUGAUGCAAAGAGUUAAAAAAAGAAAAAAACCAAGCAGCCCCCAGGGCUGGACGAUGCCGCAGAACGCCCCCGCCAGCUCGGCGGGGCCCCGAGCCCGCCAGCGCGCCCCGUCUAGGUGAGAGGAAGACGCGCCUCGUGAACGUGGGGCCAGCAAGGCAUAGAUGCUCUGGAGGAGUGAGCACGAAGGGACGCACACGCGUGCCCACCGCGUCGGCGAGGCGGACCCUCCCCCCGGGCCAGGGCUGGGCAGAGGCACAGGCCAGCUUCCUCGCCCACCCAUCAGGGCUCCAGAACCUGGGGGAGACGUGUCCUCUCCUGAGAGGCCCCUCCCGCCGUUCCCACCGUGGUGUCUGCACCUCUGUGGGCCCUGGGACCUCGCCGCUUGCCCAGGGGCCCUGGCUUCCUCCCUCCUGUUGAUUCACCCCGAUUCACCCCGAGCACCAGCUGGCACUGGGGCCCAGCCAGGAAAUGCACCCGAGCCCGGACCUGGGGCCCGGCCUCCGGGAGAUGAGCUGCUUUACUGCAGAGGCGGGGAGGGCUGCGUGGAGGCUGUUGAGUGGGACAGGGAGCGGCAGGCAGCCUCCUGCGGGCAGCCUCUCAUCUUGGGAACGAGAGUGGGACCCACCCAGGAGGCAGCGCGCCCUGGGCUGGGGCAUGUCUGGUGGGUCUCAUGGGCCCAGCCUGUACCCCCGUCGGGUGUCCCCGCCUGCCUCCUGUCCCGUGGGUCCUGUGCUGCCAGGUCACGCUCUCUGAUCUCUGGCUGGAGGCGAGCCGAGCCCUGUGGACAGGCAGAGUGUGCACCUGUCUCACCGGAGCCUGGGGCAGUGGGCCUCCCGCGAACUGGCGCCAGGCUUGGGGCUCAGCCCUGGCCCCGUGGAGCCUUGUGGGGGCGCGUCUGUGCCUGUGGCCUCCUGUCCUGUUCGGGGCCAUUCCAGCCUCUGUCACCUCCAUCACCUUGUGUGUGGCCUGUUGUGCCUGUGUGGUGGGGCUGAUGGCCUCCAGUGGCAUCUGUCCACCGUCUGAAUCCACCCGUCUGCUCACCUAGCUCAGGCCUCCCUUCUCCCAUCCGCGGUCAUCGGGGUCCCCGUGCGGCUGCAUAUGGUGCUGGGCCCUGUGCAGCCAGUCCCGAGGCGUCCCUUCAUCUCGGGAUGAAGUGCUGAGCUUGCGCCGUGACCGCGUGCGCGCCUGACGCACGGCUUGAACAUGCGGUCGCUGGGCGUCCUGUGAGCGGGGCACGCGGGCUCAGCUGUGUCCAGCACAUGCCGGGCCUCGUAUUUUGAAGGUGGUGGUUCUUCGUGGUCCUGCCCGUGCCCCUCCUGCGGGUACCUGCCUUAGGCUGUGGGGCUCUUUCCCGCCCCGAUCCCUCCACGGCCUGGGCCCUGGGAGGCGCCCUUCCUGCGUGGCAUCCACCGUCUGGGACGUGCUCAGUGCCCCUGAGAAGAGGCUUGUGGGGAGGGACUUGGGGUCCUUUGCAUGCGCUUUGGCCUUGGCCUUCGGGUCCUCGCUCCUGGGGCUCUUGCCGGACCACCGGGUCCAGGUGCAGACCUGGCUCGGCCCCUUCCUGGUUUCUUCGCUUGGGACUCGCUGGCUGCCUCUGUUCACCUGGGGAGGCCACGUUCCGUCCCUGUGUCCCUCACGCCCAGGCCCUCGGCCGCCGCUCCUGCUCCUCGGGUCCUGACUGUGGUCUCAUCCAUGUCGAUGCGGCCCUUUCGGGCCGGAGGCAGCCCGGACGCCUCCGUGUGGGUGGCCUGCCCUGGGCUCCUCGACCCUUUGGCGGAUCAGCGAUCCCAAGGUGGUGGUGGCCCCUCACGUGGUCGGGGCCGGGCUGCUUAGCCGUGUGCUGCACGGGCCGGGCCCUCCUGAGCCACGUGUCUGGGGAUCCUCCCAGGUCAGCACCCUGCCCUGAUCCAGGACUCUGGCUGUGGCUCAGCCCCACUGGUCUCGCUCUCAGGUCCAGCCCGUGCACAGAGACCUGGUGGCCGGGACGGGAGCCCGGCCAGGUCCCCUAGGCAGGGCCUGGGGCGGGGGGCCUGCUUCGGCUUCGCAGAGUUCCAGGGGGUCUGAGGCUCGAGGUUUUCAAGGCCCGUGGGUCAGGGUCCACGUGGCUGCCUCCUGGCAGCUGGCCUCCUGAUCCUUGUCCUGGGUCAGCCUUAGCUCUCCCCCCAGUGUGUGUCACUGCCCGUUGCUGUCCCUGUCAUUCUCCUGGGUCUCCUCAAGCUCCGGGGGUGCAGGGCAGCCACCCCGUCCCAAGGUGCUGGGAACCCCCUCCUUGCCCUCACCACCCAAGCUGCUGCGCUCUGCCAGGCUCCCCCAGGGGACUGCCACCCUGCCAGGGCUAUCUGGGCUCCAGCUGCCACAUUGCUGGGUCCUUGUUGCCAGCUGGAUGGAUGGUGAGGGGUCCAGCCCUUUCACCUUGGACUGCCCUGGCCCCAUCUCUCUUGGGGCAGCCUUCUGGGGGGUAGCCUCAAGAUGGGGUUGCUGUUCAGACUGGAGCUUCGGGCUCGGCCUGAUCUUCCCACCCAACUGCAUGGGCAGCCAAGUGCCCGCUGAGAUGGUCGGUCACGUGCUGGGCCCCAACGGCCGGUCCUUUCCUCAGCUGAGGGGCCCCAGUGAUGAGGCUGCUGUCGUGUCAGAGCCACGUCCUCCAGUGCAGAUUUUGUUGUUCUGGUCUCUGGUAGCUUUUGUGGUGCAACAUUUGUCGUGUUUGUAACAGAAUAAUACACGUGUUGACCUGAAACCAGGUAUCUUGGGGGAAAUUUGGUUUCAAGUAAAUUUGCAUUAUUUUUAGUGCCUAUAAAAAUGGACUUCUAAGAGUUCCUGUCGUGGCGCAGUGGUUAAUGAAUCCGACUAGGAACCAUGAGGUUGCGGGUUCAACCCCUGGCCUCGCUCAGUGGGUUAAGGAUCCGGUGCUGCCAUGAGCUGUGGUGUGGGUCUGGGACACGGCUUGGAUCCUGUGUUGCUGUGGCUGUGGCGUAGGCCAGUGGCUACAGCUCCGAUUAGAUCCCUGGCCUGGGAACCUCCAUAUGCCGCGGGUGCGGCCCUAGAAAAGGCAAAAAGAC